rnacentral:sRNA from 1 species
GAAAGAUAUCACUAAUGAAGGAAUCAAUCAGUAAGGAUUAGGUCAUUUUUAAGUGGAUGAGAUUGUCUGAAACGAAGAAUAGGUGUGAUGAAUGCAGACUCUGCUACCAUUUUGGCUGUUUGGAUCCUCCUUUGAAAAAGUCUCCUAAACAGACAGGCUAUGGAUGGAUAUGUCAGGAAUGUGAUUCUUCAUCUUCCAAGGAAGAUGAAAAUGAAGCUGAAAGAAAAAAUAUAUCUCAGGAGCUCAACAUGGAACAGAAAAAUCCAAAGAAAUAAAAGAUUUUCUGUAGUGUUUUUGAAAAGUUUGCAGCUUAUGUAACAGCAGAUAAAAUUUCUAAUUGUAAAAUGUUAAAUUGUAAAAUCUAAUUUACAAAAUGUUCUCAAUAAAGUCAUUCAAAAUGAAAUAGGA